rnacentral:rRNA from 1 species
GAACGGGUGAGUNANNCGUGGAUNACCUGCCUCAAGGCUGGGGAUAACAUUUGGAAACAGAUGCUNAUACCGAAUNAAACUUAGUAUCGCAUGAUACCAGGUUAAAAGGCGCUACGGCGUCACCUNGAGAUGGAUCCGCNGUGCAUUAGUUAGUUGGUGGGGUAAAGGCCUACCAAGACAAUGAUGCAUAGCCGAGUUGAGAGACUNAUCGGCCACNUUGGGACUGAGANNCGGCCUNAACUCCUACGGGAGGCUGNNGUNGGGAAUCUUCCACNAUGGGCGAAAGCCUNAUGGAGCACGCCGCGUGUGUGAUGAAGGCUUUCGGGUCGUNAAGCNCUGUUGUAUGGGAAGAAAAGUUAAGGUAGGGAAUGACCUUAGCCUGACGGUACCAUACCAGAAAGGGACGGCUNAAUACGUGCCAGCAGCCGCGGUNAUACGUAUGUCCCNAGCGUUAUCCGGAUUUAUUGGGCGUNAAGCGAGCGCAGACGGUUGGUUAAGUCUNAUGUGAAAGCCCGGAGCUCAACUCCGGAAAGGCAUUGGAAACUGGUUAACUUGAGUGCAGUAGAGGUAAGUGGAACUCCAUGUGUAGCGGUGGAAUGCGUAGAUAUAUGGAAGAACACCAGCGGCGAAGGCGGCUUACUGGACUGUAACUGACGUUGAGGCUCGAAAGUGUGGGUAGCNAACAGGAUUAGAUACCCUGGUAGUCCACACCGUAAACGAUGAACACUAGGUGUUAGGAGGUUUCCGCCUCUUAGUGCCGAACUAACGCAUUNAGUGUUCCGCCUGGGGAGUACGACCGCAAGGUUGAAACUCAAAGGAAUUGACGGGGACCGCACAAGCGGUGGAGCAUGUGGUUUAAUUCGAAGCAACGCGAAGAACCUUACCAGGUCUUGACNUCCUUUGAAGCUNUUAGAAAUNGAAGUGUUCUCUUCGGAGACAAAGUGACAGGUGGNGCAUNGUCGUCGUCAGCUCGUGUCGUGAGAUGUUGGGUUNAGUCCCGCAACGAGCGCAACCCUUAUUGUUAGUUGCCAGCAUUNAGAUGGGCACUCUAGCGAGACUGCCGGUGACNAACCGGAGGAAGGCGGGGACGACGUCAGAUCAUCAUGCCCCUUAUGACCUGGGCUACACACGUGCUACAAUGGCGUAUACAACGAGUUGCCAACCUGCGAAGGUGAGCUAAUCUCUUAAAGUACGUCUCAGUUCGGACUGCAGUCUGCAACUCGACUNCACGAAGUCGGAAUCGCUAGUAAUCGCGGAUCAGCACGCCGCGGUCAAUACGUUCCCGGGUCUUGUACACACCGCCCGUCACACNAUGGAAGUUUGUAAUGCCCAA